rnacentral:misc_RNA from 1 species
UCUCCGUUGGUGAACCAGCGGAGGGAUCAUUACAGGACUCGCAAGACUCCUACAACCCUGUGAACUUAACUAUAAGCACGUUGCUUCGGCGGGUGUCUCGGAGGGGGCUCUCCCUCCCCGAGACGCUAAACCCGCCGGCAGCCUACUAUACUCUGUCCCUUUGCGUUGGCAUCUCGAGUACAAUCAAACAAGUUAAAACUUUCAACAACGGAUCUCUUGGUUCUG